rnacentral:tRNA from 1 species
ACCUGGGUGGCUCAGUAGGUUAAGUGUCUGACUUUGGCUCAGGUCAUGAUCUCCCGGUUCGUGAGUUCAAGUCUCUCAUCAGGCA